CGGGUGAGUAACGCGUGGGUAACCUGCCUCAUACAGGGGGAUAACAGUUAGAAAUGACUGCUAAUACCGCAUAAGACCACAGUGCCGCAUGGCACAGGGGCCAAAGCCUUGACGGUAUGAGAUGGACCCGCGUCUGAUUAGCUUGUUGGCGGGGUAGAGGCCCACCAAGGCGACGAUCAGUAGCCGGCCUGAGAGGGUGGACGGCCACAUUGGGACUGAGACACGGCCCAAACUCCUACGGAAGGCAGCAG
rnacentral:rRNA from 1 species